rnacentral:rRNA from 1 species
GUGUCAGCCGCCGCGGUAAUACGUAGGGUGCGAGCGUUGUCCGGAAUUAUUGGGCGUAAAGAGCUCGUAGGCGGUUUGUUGCGUCGGCUGUGAAAACUCGGGGCUCAACUCCGAGCUUGCAGCCGAUACGGGCAGACUUGAGUUCGGCAGGGGAGACUGGAAUUCCUGGUGUAGCGGUGAAAUGCGCAGAUAUCAGGAGGAACACCGGUGGCGAAGGCGGGUCUCUGGGCCGAUACUGACGCUGAGGAGCGAAAGCGUGGGGAGCGAACAGGAUUAGAUACCCUGGUAGUCC